UACGUAGGGGGCAAGCGUUGUCCGGAAUCAUUGGGCGUAAAGCGCGCGUAGGCGGCCCUGUAAGUCCGCUGUGAAAGUCGAAGGCUCAACCUUCGAAAGCCGGUGGAUACUGCAGGGCUAGAGUCCGGAAGAGGCGAGUGGAAUUCCUGGUGUAGCGGUGGAAUGCGCAGAUAUCAGGAGGAACACCAAUAGCGAAGGCAGCUCGCUGGGACGGUACUGACGCUAAGGCGCGAAAGCGUGGGGAGCGAACAGG
rnacentral:rRNA from 1 species